GGACUACACGGGUUUCUAAUCCUGUUUGCUCCCCACGCUUUCGCGCCUCAGUGUCAGUAUUAGUCCAGGAAGCCGCCUUCGCCACUGGUGUUCCUUCCGAUAUCUACGCAUUUCACCGCUACACCGGAAAUUCCACUUCCCUCUACUAUACUCUAGACACCCAGUAUCGAGUGCAGUUCCCAGGUUAAGCCCAGGGCUUUCACAUCCGACUUAAGUAUCCACCUACGCGCGCUUUACGCCCAGUAAUUCCGAUUAACGCUUGCACCCUCUGUAUUACCGCGGCGGCUGGCAC
rnacentral:rRNA from 1 species